AGAUCAGACUUGGACCCUACAAAGGCUUGACUGUCACAUCUCUCCAGAGACAUCACACUCCCGUAAAACCUUGAAGAAUCUGCUUUGGCCCCCCGUGUUUUCAGGCUUGAAAACGUCCUGGCACCGCUGUGAUCAGAUGGAUCGAUCGACUCAUCAAUGAACCAAGUAACACAACAAAUCAAUGAAUCGAUCAACCUCAGGUGAUAAAUAUUAGCAAAACUAAUAUUUGGACCUCAACCGAGCUGGAGACAGGAAAUAAAGGGGGAGAAACCUUGGACGACUUCUUCCUCGUGCGGUGGAUGCGGGCGGCGAGCUGCACCGUGGUCAGCGUCUCCAUGUAGUUCACCGGGGAGUCUGAGACAUGGGCGAUCAUGGUGGUCCAACAGUUGAUGUUGCCCAGAGACUCACUGAGCAGCAUGGUUAGUGUGUCCGAAGCAGAAGAUGCAGCCGUCUGCUCCGUUCACCACCGACUGGACGACCUCCGCCACCGAGCACGCACACACCUCGGCCUAUAGGAGCAGAGACCAUAUCCUCAGUCUGUUCCUGCAGCAUCGCAAUGUCUUUCCUCAGCUCCUCCCCUCCCUCCCUCUCUCUCUCCCCCUCUCUUCCUCCUCCUCUCCCUCCCUCCAUCCCUCCCUCCUCCC